rnacentral:rRNA from 1 species
UUACACAUGCAAGUCGAGCGGUAAGGCCCUUUCGGGGGUACACGAGCGGCGAACGGGUGCAGUAACACGUGGGUGACCUGCCCUUAGCUCUGGGAUAAGCCUGGGAAACUGGGUCUAAUACCGGAUAUGACUCCAUGACGCAUGUUGUGGGGUGGAAAGCCUUGUGCGGCUAGGGAUGGGCCCGCGGCCUAUCAGCUUGUUGGUGGGGUGAUGGCCUACCAAGGCGACGACGGGUAGCCGGCCUGAGAGGGCGACCGGCCACACUGGGACUGAGACACGGCCCAGACUCCUACGGGAGGCAGCAGUGGGGAAUCUUGCGCAAUGGGCGAAAGCCCGACGCAGCGACGCCGCGUGAGGGAUGACGGCCUUCGGGUUGUAAACCUCUUUCAGCCCUGACGAAGCGAAAGUGACGGUAGGGGCAGAAGAAGCACCGGCCAACUACGUGCCAGCAGCCGCGGUAAUACGUAGGGUGCAAGCGUUGUCCGGAAUUAUUGGGCGUAAAGAGCUCGUAGGCGGUCUGUCGCGUCGGCUGUGAAAACUCGGGGCUCAACUCCGAGCUUGCAGUCGAUACGGGCAGGCUAGAGUUCGGCAGGGGAGACUGGAAUUCCUGGUGUAGCGGUGAAAUGCGCAGAUAUCAGGAGGAACACCGGUGGCGAAGGCGGGUCUCUGGGCCGAUACUGACGCUGANGAGCGAAAGCGUGGGGAGCGAACAGGAUUAGAUACCCUGGUAGUCCACGCCGUAAACGUUGGGCGCUAGGUGUGGGAUCCCUUCCACGGGUUCCGUGCCGCAGCUUAACGCAUUAAGCGCCCCCGCCUGGGGNAGUACGGCCGCAAGGUUAAACUCAANGAAUUA